AACCAUAGAAACCUGCGGAGUACCUGCGGAGGAUCAUUAUAGUAUAUGGAAUCUCCAUUCUAUAAACCCACUCUGCGUAUCUUGUAACUGUUGCUUCCAUGGGACUUGGUUCCGCCACACCGGCUUCACGGCUGGUGAGCGCCCAUGGAAGGAGAAACAAAACUCUUCUUUGAAAUGUAGUCAGUCUGAACAAGUUUUUAUAAACGUUAAAACUUUUAGCAACGGAUCUCAGAUCGGAAG
rnacentral:misc_RNA from 1 species